rnacentral:rRNA from 1 species
CCUGACAUCCGACCGUNCAACCCGACCAUUWCUUGCGUCAUCAGCUUGNNUACUUCCGACNUAGGUACUCACCGUCUGCACGAAUMCUGAGNGGGUMCAAUGUUCUACCAUAGCAGAACGUMMGGUCANGGUGCAGCCUAUGAAAUGGCAAAGGGUGGGCUACAAUUUCUAGUAUAGAACAUCCCAAGGUAACCCCUUACGGAAACCUGAAUGAAAAUCCAGGCAAGAAGGCGGAUCUAGUAGUAAAAAGAAAUUAGAGAGUUCUUUUUAAUAUCAAAUGUCGGGGCGCGUAC